rnacentral:rRNA from 1 species
AAGAGAGAGUUCAAGAGUACGUGAAACCGCAUAGAGUCAAACUGGUGGAUCCGCAGAGUCCGCGCGGGGAAUUCAGCUCGGCAGGCGGGGCCGUGCGCCGGCCGAGAUUCGUCUCGGACCUGGCUGGCGCGCUGCGUACUCGCAGGCAGGGUGCACUUUCCCCGGCUAGCGGAAGGCCACGACCGGUUCGGUGGCGGUCAGGAGCCCGGAGCGGGAGGUAGCCGUGAUCGGUUCACGCCGAUUGCGGAACGUACAGCCCUCCGAGGUGGACUCGCCGCUGGACCGAGGAUGCCGCGGUGGCCUCACGCCGCGGGCCGUCCGGGAGCGUUCGACUUUGGCCACGCUGCUCGCAGCCGGCCGAGACCGCGCUUCUGGUACGGGCUCGCGAACGGGGGCCGCCUAGGGUCAGUGGCGAAUCGGUCGGCAACCCACCAGACCCGUCUUGAAACACGGACCAAGGAGUCUAGCAUGUGCGCGAGUCACGGGGUCUCUCGAAACCCAAGGGCGCAAUGAAAGUGAAGGCCGCCUCCGGCUGGCCCAGGCAAGAUCCCGAGACGUUCGCGUCGAGGGCGCACUGCCGGCCCGUCUCGCUGGCAUCGACCACGAGGCGGAGCAAGAGCGCACACGCUGGGACCCGAAAGAUGGUGAACUAUGCCU